rnacentral:rRNA from 1 species
UACGUAGGGACCGAGCGUUGUCCGGAAUCAUUGGGCGUAAAGAGCGUGUAGGCGGCCACUUAAGUCCUGCGUGAAAUCUUGCGGCUCAACCGCAAGCGGUCGUGGGAAACUGGGUGGCUAGAGUGCGGGAGAGGAGAGUGGAAUUCCUGGUGCGCGGUGGAAUGCGCAGAUAUCAGGAAGAACACCCGUGGCGAAGGCGGCUCUCUGGAACGCAACUGACGCUGAGGAGCGAAAGCAUGGGGAGCGAACAGG